rnacentral:rRNA from 1 species
ACGAACGCUGGCGGCAUGCCUAACACAUGCAAGUCGAACGAGACCUUCGGGUCUAGUGGCGCACGGGUGCGUAACGCGUGGGAACCUGCCCUUAGGUUCGGAAUAACUCCCCGAAAGGGGUGCUAAUACCGGAUAAUGUCUUCGGACCAAAGAUUUAUCGCCUUUGGAUGGGCCCGCGUUGGAUUAGCUAGUUGGUAGGGUAAAAGCCUACCAAGGCGACGAUCCAUAGCUGGUCUGAGAGGAUGAUCAGCCACACUGGGACUGAGACACGGCCCAGACUCCUACGGGAGGCAGCAGUGGGGAAUAUUGGACAUUGGGCGAAAGCCUGAUCCAGCAAUGCCGCGUGAGUGAUGAAGGCCUUAGGGUUGUAAAGCUCUUUUACCCGGGAUGAUAAUGACAGUACCGGGAGAAUAAGCUCCGGCUAACUCCGUG